rnacentral:rRNA from 1 species
CCAAUAGCGUAUAUUAAAGUUGUUGCCGUUAAAACGCUCGUAGUUGAAUUUCGGGAUCAGUAUGUUGGUCGUGCUUCGGUACGUACUGUCAUUACUGGUUUCUCCCUUCUGAAGAACCUUGAUGUCAUUAAUUUGGUGUCUUGGGGAAUCAGGACUGUUACUUUGAAAAAAUUAGAGUGUUUAAAGCAGGCAUACGCUUGAAUACAUUAGCAUGGAAUAAUGAAAUAGGACGUUUGAUUCUAUUUUGUUGGUUUCUAGGAUCGACGUAAUGAUUAAUAGGGAUAGUUGGGGGCAUUAGUAUUCAAUUGUCAGAGGUGAAAUUCUUGGAUUUAUUGAAGACUAACUACUGCGAAAGCAUUUGCCAAGGAUGUUUUCAUUAAUCAAGAACGAAAGUUAGGGGAUCGAAGACGAUCAGAUACCGUCGUAGUCUUAACCAUAAACUAUGCCGACUAGGGAUCGGAUGAUGUUAUUUUUAAUGACUCAUUCGGCGCCUUACG